GAUUGUGUAGCUCAGUGUGAAAGAGCAGUUGGCUGUUAACCAUCAGGUCGUGGGUUCGAAUCCCACCACAAUCG
rnacentral:tRNA from 1 species